rnacentral:rRNA from 1 species
AUUGAACGCUGGCGGCAGGCUUAACACAUGCAAGUCGAGCGGGGUGAUGGUGCUUGCACUAUCACUUAGCGGCGGACGGGUGAGUAAUGCUUAGGAAUCUGCCUAUUAGUGGGGGACAACAUCUCGAAAGGGAUGCUAAUACCGCAUACGUCCUACGGGAGAAAGCAGGGGAUCACUUGUGACCUUGCGCUAAUAGAUGAGCCUAAGUCGGAUUAGCUAGUUGGUGGGGUAAACGCCUACCAAGGCGACGAUCUGUAGCGGGUCUGAGAGGAUGAUCCGCCACACUGGGACUGAGACACGGCCCAGACUCCUACGGGAGGCAGCAGUGGGGAAUAUUGGACAAUGGGGGGACCCCUGAUCCAGCCAUGCCGCGUGUGUGAAGAAGGCCUUAUGGUUGUAAAGCACUUUAAGUGAGGAGGAGGCUCUUUUGGUUAAUACCCAAGAUGAGUGGACGUUACUCGCAGAAUAAGCACCGGCUAACUCUGUGCCAGCAGCCGCCGUAA